AACGCUAGCUACAGGCUUAACACAUGCAAGUCGAGGGGCAGCAUUUUAGUUUGCUUGCAAACUGAAGAUGGCGACCGGCGCACGGGUGAGUAACACGUAUCCAACCUGCCGAUAACUCCGGGAUAGCCUUUCGAAAGAAAGAUUAAUACCGGAUAGCAUACGAAUAUCGCAUGAUAUUUUUAUUAAAGAAUUUCGGUUAUCGAUGGGGAUGCGUUCCAUUAGUUUGUUGGCGGGGUAACGGCCCACCAAGACUACGAUGGAUAGGGGUUCUGAGAGGAAGGUCCCCCACAUUGGAACUGAGACACGGUCCAAACUCCUACGGGAGGCAGCAGUGAGGAAUAUUGGUCAAUGGACGAGAGUCUGAACCAGCCAAGUAGCGUGAAGGAUGACUGCCCUAUGGGUUGUAAACUUCUUUUAUAAGGGAAUAAAGUGAGGGACGUGUCCCUUUUUGUAUGUACCUUAUGAAUAAGGAUCGGCUAACUCCGUGCCAGCAGCCGCGGUAAUACGGAGGAUCCAAGCGUUAUCCGGAUUUAUUGGGUUUAAAGGGAGCGUAGGUUGACAUAUAAGUCAGCUGUGAAAGUUUACGGCUCAACCGUGAAAUUGCAGUUGAUACUGUAUGUCUUGAGUGUACAAGAGGUGGGCGGAAUUCGUGGUGUAGCGGUGAAAUGCUUAGAUAUCACGAAGAACUCCGAUUG
rnacentral:rRNA from 1 species